CUUCGGCUUAACCGGAGAAGUGCAUCGGAAACUGGAUAACUUGAGUGCAGAAGAGGGUAGUGGAACUCCAUGUGUAGCGGUGGAAUGCGUAGAUAUAUGGAAGAACACCAGUGGCGAAGGCGGCUACCUGGUCUGCAACUGACGCUGAGACUCGAAAGCAUGGGUAGCGAACAGGAUUAGAUACCCUGGUAGUCCAUGCCGUAAACGAUGAGUGCUAGGUGUUGGAGGGUUUCCGCCCUUCAGUGCCGGAGCUAACGCAUUAAGCACUCCGCCUGGGGAGUACGACCGCAAGGUUGAAACUCAAAGGAAUUGACGGGGGCCCGCACAAGCGGUGGAGCAUGUGGUUUAAUUCGAAGCUACGCGAAGAACCUUACCAGGUCUUGACAUCUUGCGCCAACCCUAGAGAUAGGGCGUUUCCUUCGGGAACGCAAUGACAGGUGGUGCAUGGUCGUCGUCAGCUCGUGUCGUGAGAUGUUGGGUUAAGUCCCGCAACGAGCGCAACCCUUGUUACUAGUUGCCAGCAUUAAGUUGGGCGCUCUAGUGAGACUGCCGGUGACAAACCGGAGGAAGGUGGGGACGACGUCAGAUCAUCAUGCCCCUUAUGACCUGGGCGACACACGUGGUACAAUGGACGGUACAACGAGUCGCGAACUCGCGAGGGCAAGCAAAUCUCUUAAAACCGUUCUCACUUCGGACAGCGGGCUGCAUCUCUCUUGCACGAAGUCGGAGUGACUAGUAAGCACGGAUCAACAUGCCGCGGUGAAUACAUUCCUGGGCUUGUAAAGACCACCCCUCGCACCACCAGAGU
rnacentral:rRNA from 1 species